rnacentral:lncRNA from 1 species
GUUUCAUACUUUCAUGCAUGAUAUGUGAUUGGACUUAAAAACACUGUGAGUCUGUAAUUACUUAUUUGAUAGGUAAGUUUUUUUUUUUUAAUUCUUGAGUGGAUUUUCUCUUCAUGCUUUAUGUUACUUAAAGUGAUCAUAUGUUAAACAGUGGCAGUAUUUAUUCUCCUUUAAAGAUAAUGUAUUCCAGUUUGAAAUGGUAUAUUUUAUUUUGAAUUCAAUAUACUGACUAUUUGUGAAUUGUGAUAUUUGUCUUAUUUAAAAAUAGGUUAAACGGAUCGGGCC